GAUGAACGCUGGCGGCGUGCCUAAUACAUGCAAGUCGAGCGAACAGACGAGGAGCUUGCUCCUCUGACGUUAGCGGCGGACGGGUGAGUAACACGUGGAUAACCUACCUAUAAGACUGGGAUAACUUCGGGAAACCGGAGCUAAUACCGGAUAAUAUAUUGAACCGCAUGGUUCAAUAGUGAAAGACGGUUUUGCUGUCACUUAUAGAUGGAUCCGCGCCGUAUUAGCUAGUUGGUAAGGUAACGGCUUACCAAGGCGACGAUGCGUAGCCGACCUGAGAGGGUGAUCGGCGACACUGGAACUGAGACACGGUCCAGACUCCUACGGGAGGCAGCAGUAGGGAAUCUUCCGCAAUGGGCGAAAGCCUGACGGAGCAACGCCGCGUGAGUGAUGAAGGUCUUCGGAUCGUAAAACUCUGUUAUUAGGGAAGAACAAAUGUGUAAGUAACUAUGCACGUCUUGACGGUACCUAAUCAGAAAGCCACGGCUAACUACGUG
rnacentral:rRNA from 1 species